UCCCGAAUGAGAGAAGUGUUGUAUCACUGAAUAAGUUGUGUUGUCUUUUUAAUUCCUUCACCAUUCACCAACACAGGGGAAACAAAAGGAACAGGAAAAAAAAGGGUUGAAGAUGUGAGUUGAAGGGUUAAGCUCAGAGUCACGUAGAAUAAGAGAGUUGUUGUGUCAUUGAAUGUUUUCCUUGUAUUCACCACUCAUAAAUAUGCAACACAUGUAUUUUCAAACAUAUGUGUGCAUACAUGUGUGGGCGUGUGUCUGUGUGUGUGUCUGUGUGUGUCUGUGUGUGUGUGUGUGUGUGUGUGUGUGUGUGUGUGUGUGUGUGUGUGUGUGUGUGUGUGUGUGUCUGUCUGUGUGUGUGUGUGUGUCUGUGUGUGUGUGUGUGUGUGUCUGUGUGUGUGUGUGUGUGUGUGUGUGUGUUGCAGUAAAGAAGACAGCCGGUGUUAUCUCCAGCGUCCUUAUCAUCACUGUUACCGAGGUUAGGCUGCCACGCUGACAAGAUGUGACGAUGUGGUGUUGAGGAGCGAUAACUACUGUAAACUUUGACCGGCAGAGCAACAUUCCUGUCCUGCCUGACUUUGCUUGCGGGUUGGGUUAGGUUUUGUUGAUUUUCUUCCUUUUGGGGGCUGGGAAGGUGUCACUGGUUAGGUUAGGUUAAGUUAGGCUAUAUUCUUUUGUUAACUCAUCCGAUGCUAGUUAGGUUAGGUUAGGUUAGGUUAGGUUAGGUUAUUAUGUUGAUUUCUUUAGUGGGGCUGAGAUGUUGUUAGUUAGGUUAAGUUAGGUUAGGUUAUAAUAUUUUGUAAACUUAUUUGAUGCUAGUUACGUUACGAUGAUUUGUUUAGUGUGGUCGUAAAAAUGUCACUAGUUAGGUUAAGUUACGUUAGGUUAUUGUGUUUUCCUUCACUUAGCACUAGUUAGGUCAGGUCAGUUUAUUCCCUUGACCUUUGGUGUGGGUUAGAUGUCACUAGUAAGGUCAGGUUAGGUUAAUGUGCUAACUUCUUUUGUUUGGCUCUAGUUUAUUCUGGUGACUUCCUUCAUUUGCCUCAUGUCACACUAGUUAGGUUAUACAAUUCUGCAGACUGUCUUCAUUUAGUGAGGCUCAGAAGUCACACUAGUUAGGAUAUUAUUAAUCUUUCCAUCUCGGUUAGUUAGCAUCACUCACCGACAACACUGACAAACUGUAAGUCGGCAAGUGAACAUUGAAAACAUUAGAAACUUAGAAUUUUCCUUUUACAUGUUGGCAGGGUGGCUGUGGUGUUGAAGUGAACACCUGGGGAAACUAAUGAUGUUUUAUCACCUGUCUAGUUCCUCAACACCUGUCUGCAUGUGGCGAGUGUGGGGGAAACAGGGGAAGUGUGUGAUGUGUAGUGCAUAGGUGUGCGCUUAGUAGUGGUGAGGUGUGGAACGGAAAGUGAUAUGCUUAGCAGUAGUGGUGGUGAGGUGAGUGUGGUGUGUGUGUGUGUGUGUGUGUGUGUGUGUGUGUGUGUGUGUGUGUGUGUGUGUGUGUGUGUGUGGUGAUGUGUUAGAAGUAUAAGAUAGGAAGGGAAAGAAAGAAUGAUGAUGUAAAACAGGAGCAGGUGCAGGUAGAAGAUAGGAAAAGGAAAGAAAGAUGAUUAGGAAGAGGAGGAUAAGGAAGUAAUCAAAGAAUAAGAAAAUGAAAAGGAAUAAGAUGAAAAAUAGUAUUUAGAAUGAAGGAAAGAAGAAGAAAAUAAGGAGAAGGAGAGGAAAAUGAGGAGAAACGAAGGAAUAGGAAAAUUAAAGGAAAGAAAAGGGAGAAAGUUAGGAUUAAGAGAAUGAAGAGAAGGGAAAAGAAAGAAAAAGGAAAAAAGGAAUAAAAGAAUUGAGAGAAAAGGAAAAGGAAAGAGAAUGAGAGAAAAAAGAAAAAAGGAAAAUGAAAAAUGUGUGAAUGAAAGGAAAGGAAAAGGAAGAAAAGAUAACUAGAAGAAGGAAAAGAGAAAAAAAAGAAACUAAAGAAUGAGGGAAUGCAGAGAAAAGAAAAGAGAAUGAGAGAAAAGAAAGAAAAAACUGAGAAACAAAAAGACAAGAGGAAAAAAAUAAAAAGAAAAAGAAGAAGAAAGUUUGAAAGAAGAACAAGACAAAAUAAAUACACAAACAAACAAAAGAUAAACAAGAAUAAGGUAGAAGAAAAAGAAAAGAUGAAAACAAUAAUAGAAGCAAGAAUGAAAGGAUAGAAAGAGAUAGAAAGAGAAAGAAAGAAAGCAAGAAAAGAUUAGAAACAACAUGAUUUGAUACAGAUAGAUGGAUAGACUCAAAAGAACACCAGCAAAAUAGAAAGAGGGGGAUAUAGAAGGAAGAGAGAGAGAGAGAGAGAGAGAGAGAGAGAGAGAGAGAGAGAGAGAGAGAGAGAGAGAGAGAGAGAGAGAGAGAUAGAGAGAGAGAGAGCAAGGACAUGGAACAGAGAACAUUGAUAAACAUACCAGUAAGAUAAGGAAUAGAUAAAAGAGAUAAAAAAGAAGGCAUGAAUGAAGAUGGUGAAAGAAAGACUGAGGAAUGGAAUGCUAGAACAGAAAGUGAAUGAAUGAAGAGAAGAUUUUGAAAGAAAGGAAAGAAGGAAAAAAGCAAAUUUAGAGAAACUGGGAUGUAAAUGUGAAAGAAAAUAAAAAUCAAGGAAAUUAUGAAUGAAUAAAUGAAAAGUGAAUAAGAUUAUGAAUAGGGACAGUUAUGAGAGAGAGAGAGAGGGAGGGGGAAAUUUAGUUUGAGAAAUAAGGUUAAAUUUUGAAAUGAAAAAAGAAAGAGAAAGAAUAAAGCAAAUAAACAAUAAUGAAAUAUAAUGAAUAAAUGAAGGAAAAAUGUGAAUCAAGGAAAAUAAGAAAGAAAAAAAUAACUUGAUGAAAAGAGAGGAUGAUACGAAAAAAUUAAUAUGGGUAAAAAGAAAACAUACAUUGCAGAAAUGAAUAAUGAAUUACAGUAGAUGUAUGUAUAUAUGUAUGUAUGUAUGUAUGUAUCUAUGCAUGAGUUAUAGAUAGCAUGAAUAAUUUUACUGGAUGUUGAGAAACCAAGGAAAAAAAAAUAUAUGCAUGUGUGUGUGUGUGUGUGUGUGUGUGUGUGUGUGUGUGUGUGUGUGUCGGAGCAUCCACGUGCAUAGAUUAUUAAUGUAAAAACUGGUUGCUGGUUGACUGAGGCUUAAAAUAGAACUGACAGCAUUGACACCAAAAAAAGAAAAAGAAAAAAAACUGACAGAUAUAAAUAAAUGCAAUAAUAAGAGGAGACAUUGAAACUAUAAACAACUUGAGUGAAAAGUACAUAGAAUAAUAAAAACCUGGUAUUGACUCUGAAAACCACGAAAGAGAGAAGAAAAUAAAAAAGAAUAGGGAAGAUAUUGACACUUAAAAUCAUUAAAGGAAGACAUAAAUAAAAAAAAAAACAGGGAAGAUAUUGACACAAAAUCAUGAGAGAGAGAAGUAAAUAAAAAAAAAAACUGGGAAGAUAUUGAGACUAAAAAACAUUGGUGAGAGAAAUUAAAGUAAAUAAGAUGACAUUAAAACUAUAAAGAACAUUGGAGAGAGAAAACACAAAAAAAAUAACGCUUGAAAAGGAAACUAAAAAGAAAAAAUGGAGAUAGAUAUAUAAAAAAGAAAGGCAUUGAAAAAAAAACACAUAAAAAGACUUUUUAAAAAUCAAAUAUGAAAAAGAAAUAUUUAUUUUAAUAGGUGAGAGAAAAUGAAAGAUAGAUAAAAUUUGACAUUGAAACUAAAAAAAAAAUCAUUGAGAUGGAAAAAUAAAAUAAGUACUUUUAGAAUCAAUUAUGAAAAAAAAGUAAAUAAAAAAUAAAAACUGAAAAUUAAUUCAAAAGAAAGAUAUUUGUUGGAAUGAAAAAAAUAAUAAUAUCCAGUAAAAAGAAAAAAAAUUGUGUGAUAGAAGUGGAAAGAAUUCGUUAAUUUUGCAUGUGUGUGUGUGUGUGUGUGUGCAUGUGUGUGUUGAGGAGAGAGAGAGAGAGAGAGAGAGAGAGAGAGAGAGAGAGAGAGAGAGAGAGAGAGAGAGAGAGAGGGGGGGGGGGGGGGGGGAAACAGUAACAGAGGAAGAAACAAUACAGUGAUAAAGACAGAAUAGAUGAUAAAGAUAAAAUAGAAGGAGAAAGAAAGCAAGUAGUAAAUUCAAAAUAAGUGAAUAUAGAUGAUAAAAAGGAGACCGGAAGGAAAACUGGUUAAAUGAGGGAAGUAGCAAAGGAGAAGAGAAUAAACUAAAAGAUAAACUGAACAGAAGCAUGUGAAAGACAAAGAGGAAGAGGAAGAGGAAGAUUAAAUAAAAUAAAUGAUAAAAAUAAACUUGCAAGAUAUAUAAUGAUAAAUAGUGGGAAGAGGAAGAGGAAGAGGAAAAUUAGAAUCGAAAAACACCAAACAAUGCAUGACAGAGAGAGAGAGAGAGAGAAAGAGAGAGAGAGAGAGAGAAAAAAAAAAAGAAAUGGAAAAAAAAGAGAAAAGAAAAAAUAGGAAAAAAGAAAAGGGAAGGAAAGAAGUAUAAAGAAAAAGAAAAUAAUGGAAAAAAGAAGAAAAAAGGAAUAAGAUAAAUAAAGAAGUAAGAUAGAAAAAGGAAUUGAAGGAAAAAAAGAGGAAAAUAAAAAGUUAAGAAAGGAAAAGGAGGGAAAAAACAAAAGGAAAAAAGAAAAAUGAAAAUAAUGGAGAGAGAGAGAGAGAGAGAGAGAGAGAGAGAGAGAGAGAGAGAAGAAAACAAGACAAGAAGACAAAAAACAAAGAAAUAAACAAAAAAAAAUCAUAAAAAAACCCACACACGCACACACACACACACACACACACACACACACACACACACACACACACACACACACACACACACACACACACACA